GAUGAACGCUGGCGGCGUGCCUAAUACAUGCAAGUCGAGCGAACAGAUAAGGAGCUUGCUCCUUUGACGUUAGCGGCGGACGGGUGAGUAACACGUGGGUAACCUACCUAUAAGACUGGAAUAACUCCGGGAAACCGGGGCUAAUGCCGGAUAACAUUUAGAACCGCAUGGUUCUAAAGUGAAAGAUGGUUUUGCUAUCACUUAUAGAUGGACCCGCGCCGUAUUAGCUAGUUGGUAAGGUAACGGCUUACCAAGGCAACGAUACGUAGCCGACCUGAGAGGGUGAUCGGCCACACUGGAACUGAGACACGGUCCAGACUCCUACGGGAGGCAGCAGUAGGGAAUCUUCCGCAAUGGGCGAAAGCCUGACGGAGCAACGCCGCGUGAGUGAUGAAGGUCUUCGGAUCGUAAAACGCUGUUAUUAGGGAAGAACAAAUGUGUAAGUAACUGUGCACGUCUUGACGGUACCUAAUCAGAAAGCCACGGCUAACUACGUG
rnacentral:rRNA from 1 species